GUCCCAACUUCGGAGGACCUGGGCGCGGAGGGCUGUGGCGUGAAGACCGCUCUAAAACCGAGAUGACUAGAGGUUCCGUUUAACCGAUUCCUGCCGGGGAAGCGUCAGCAGGUGGGGAUCUCGGGGCAGCCUGCAUUCCAGCUCUACCUGGGAUUGUCGCCGUGCACAUGGCUGGAGGAGCGUCUCUCCGCCGCUGCGCACAUUUUGCAGCCUGCACCGGCCAACGCAAAGAAUGGCCGAGUGGAUUCUGAGGACCGGAGGAGCCGCCACUGCCCGUACCUGGACACCAUUAACAGGAGUGUGCUGGACUUUGACUUUGAGAAACUGUGUUCUAUCUCCCUCUCACACAUCAAUGCUUAUGCCUGUCUGGUGUGUGGCAAGUACUUUCAAGCUUUUCACCCUUCCCUACAGGCCGGGGUUUGAAGUCUCACGCCUACAUUCACAGUGUCCAGUUUAGCCACCAUGUUUUCCUCAACCUCCACACCCUCAAGUUUUACUGCCUGCCAGACAACUAUGAGAUCAUCGAUUCCUCAUUGGAGGAUAUCACGUAUGUGUUGAAGCCCACUUUCACAAAGCAGCAAAUUGCAAACCUGGACAAGCAAGCCAAAUUGUCCCGGGCAUAUGAUGGUACCACUUACCUGCCGGGUAUCGUGGGACUGAAUAACAUAAAGGCCAAUGAUUAUGCCAACGCUGUCCUUCAGGCUCUAUCUAAUGUUCCUCCUCUCCGGAACUACUUUCUGGAAGAAGACAAUUAUAAGAACAUCAAACGUCCUCCAGGGGAUAUCAUGUUCUUGUUGGUCCAGCGUUUUGGAGAGCUGAUGAGAAAGCUCUGGAACCCUCGAAAUUUCAAGGCACAUGUGUCUCCCCAUGAGAUGCUUCAGGCAGUUGUACUUUGCAGUAAGAAGACUUUUCAGAUCACCAAACAAGGAGAUGGCGUUGACUUUCUGUCUUGGUUUCUGAAUGCUCUGCACUCAGCUCUGGGGGGCACAAAGAAGAAAAAGAAGACUAUUGUGACUGAUGUUUUCCAGGGGUCCAUGAGGAUCUUCACUAAAAAGCUUCCCCAUCCUGAUCUGCCAGCAGAAGAAAAAGAGCAGUUGCUCCAUAAUGACGAGUACCAGGAGACAAUGGUGGAGUCCACUUUUAUGUACCUGACGCUAGACCUUCCUACUGCCCCCCUCUACAAGGACGAGAAGGAGCAGCUCAUCAUUCCCCAAGUGCCACUCUUCAACAUCCUGGCUAAGUUCAAUGGCAUCACUGAGAAGGAAUAUAAGACUUACAAGGAGAACUUUCUGAAGCGCUUCCAGCUUACCAAGUUGCCUCCAUAUCUAAUCUUUUGUAUCAAGAGAUUCACUAAGAACAACUUCUUUGUUGAGAAGAAUCCAACUAUUGUCAAUUUCCCUAUUACAAAUGUGGAUCUGAGAGAAUACUUGUCUGAAGAAGUACAAGCAGUACACAAGAAUACCACCUAUGACCUCAUUGCCAACAUCGUGCAUGACGGCAAGCCCUCCGAGGGCUCCUACCGGAUCCACGUGCUUCAUCAUGGGACAGGCAAAUGGUAUGAAUUACAAGACCUCCAGGUGACUGACAUCCUUCCCCAGAUGAUCACACUGUCAGAGGCUUACAUUCAGAUUUGGAAGAGGCGAGAUAAUGAUGAAACCAACCAGCAGGGGGCUUGAAGGAGGCGUCUAGGGCUUUGCUCCCAAGGGCUGUGGCUGAUGAUGGUAAAUAAGAACACAGAAGCUGUAGCUGAACACAGGCUGGCUGGUGGGCUCCCUAGGCCAGCCCAGCUUGUAUGGGUUCUGGCUACACCAGAGCACCAAGAGCCCACUUGCCUGGGAUGGCCCCACACUGUCACUCAGCUGUUCUUUGAUCAUUUUUUUCUAGAUUGAUGCUCCUUUCUCUCAUGCAUCGAGCUCCCAUCUAGCUUCAGCAGGGCAGAACCCUUCUCCAGAUGUGUGUAACUUAUGUCUGAGUAUCUGGGAGUAGUUGAAGAACAGAUAAUUCCUUCCAAACAUCAAGCCUUGGGAUUCUUGGAGCAAGCAGAAAGCCAGUAACUUCGCUCUGUUAGAGGUGGAGGAUUUUCCUAUGGUUCUGCUCAUUUCCUGAUGUGUAUUUUUAGAUGGAUUAAAUAGUCUCCUGUUUUUAAA
rnacentral:sRNA from 1 species